GACCGCGUAGCUCAGUUGGAAGAGCAUUGGGCUAGCAUUCCAAAGGUCGUAGGUUCGAAUCCCACCGUGGCCG
rnacentral:tRNA from 1 species